rnacentral:rRNA from 1 species
CGCUGGCGGCGUGCCUAAUACAUGCAAGUAGAACGCUGAAGGAGGAGCUUGCUUCUCUGGAUGAGUUGCGAACGGGUGAGUAACGCGUAGGUAACCUGCCUGGUAGCGGGGGAUAACUAUUGGAAACGAUAGCUAAUACCGCAUAAUAGUAGUUGUUGCAUGACAACUGUUUGAAAGGUGCAAUUGCAUCACUACCAGAUGGACCUGCGUUGUAUUAGCUAGUUGGUGGGGUAACGGCUCACCAAGGCGACGAUACAUAGCCGACCUGAGAGGGUGAUCGGCCACACUGGGACUGAGACACGGCCCAGACUCCUACGGGAGGCAGCAGUAGGGAACCUUCGGCAAUGGACGGAAGUCUGACCGAGCAACGCCGCGUGAGUGAAGAAGGUUUUCGGAUCGUAAAGCUCUGUUGUAAGAGAGGAACGAGUGUGAGAGUGGAAAGUUCACACUGUGACGGUAUCUUACCAGAAAGGGACGGCUAACUACGUG